AGGUAAUGUAGAAGAGAGAUGGCACCUUUCUUCUGGGAAGGAGGCAGAGGCCUGGCCCAGGAUCAAAUCAAAAGCUGAGGCUCACUGCCCCCUGGAUGGGCAGUGAGUCUUUGGGUUCCUGAGGCCAGGGCAUGGCCCAGCCUUGUUCCCCCCAGGAUGGCACAUGGGCCAGAGGGGUGAGGGGCCUUCAUAAGCUGACCUUGAGGAUUCACUUGGGUCCCAGCCAGACAGGAGUAUGAUCAUCACGUCUGUGUCACAUGCUUAGUUCUGUGCCUGCUCGGGGAUUCUGACAGCCUGCGACAGGUGCAGGGGGCCUGAAGCUUCAUGUGCAAGCAGGAGUUUGGGGCACCUUGGGGAGGGAGGGGCUUUCGUUGGGGAGUCAUGCUGAAGUGUGCUGCCCUGGACCUGGGGGUGGGCUAGGAAAGGGCAAAGACCAGCAAGGUUGCUUCCCAGCAAGGUUGCUUCCCGUUCUCAUGGAGUUUGCAGUUUAAAAAUACCAGUGCUGUUUAGCCACAGGUCUGCUGGGUUAGAAUCGUGGAGGAAGUACAGCAAUUGCACGUAUUACAGGGGAUCAGGCUGUCAGGGGAUGCAACAAGGCCCCGGCUCUUUGCCGGUAAGCCUGUUCGGCUGUCCAUGCACGCAAGCUGCCAGGGCCGCUGGCUGCUCUCUGGAGCCCUGUGUCCCCUUUGGCUGGACAUAUCCCAUGUCACAUUCCCCCAGAGUUCUCAUUCCAGUCGGCUAAUCCCCAAGAACAUGGGCCAGGGCAUUAGCUUUCGGGUCCUCUUAAAGACCAAAAAGGAAAGCAACCCCCCCACCUCUUGGUUCAUUGCAGAUACCCACUGGGUGGCUUGGAAGGGAUUUGGGGCUGUGGGUGGUGAAAAUCACAGCUUCGGGCACACACCUGCUGGCCCCAUGUCACUGACAGGCAGCUUGAAGGCUCAGGGCUCCUACUUUACAGCAUAUAAUAUAUAAAUAUUUUUAAAAAAGAUCUUUGCUGUAAAAUAAAGCCCCUGUGUCUGCAGAGCUUGCUUUAGGCAUAUGUGCCCACUCUCAAAGCGUCAGCUAACAUGCUUUUUUUCUUGGCAUUUGUAAAACAAAACCAAACCAAAAACAAAACCCCAUAAGCAAAUAAACAAAAUUCCAUGUAAAAUGUUUAUUUUAAUUAUGCAUAAAAUGUAUUGAUAAAUAACAUGGUCAUUAGUAAAAAUUAUAUGACGUUGCAGAUAAAGCUAAAGCCAUCUUUAACCCUUCCAUCAACCUCAGCCUCCCCUCGCCCCCAAAAUUAACUGCAGUUAUAAUUUUCAGAAUCUGCUUGGAAAUAAUAAAGAUCAACGCCAUUCCUUGUAACAACACUUCAGUAUCCUGUAAUCUGCACACCCCAGCAUUUAUUUAACCACUUCGGUGCGGCAUGAAAGCCCCAGGUCCUCUACCCUGAGGGAGGCGAAUAGUGGAGGCAGGUAAGCCCCCGGCUUCUCUGUGCAGCCUGGAUCUGAAAACCACUUUGUGUUAUUUCCUGCACUGAUGGAUGGCGUCUGAGGGUUGUGCUGUCUGCUCUGUGGCACUGGUUGGCUUAUUCAAGUCAGUGUUCAAACUAUCUCUUGCACUUUCAAGGGCCACUGGGAUUCUCAAAGAUGAAAGGACUUUAAGAGGUUAGGGACUUGCCCAAGAUUGGCUAAAAAGCAGAACCCAGGAUUCCAACCCAGGGAUGUUGAUUCUCAGAGGACGGAGAUUUGUCUGUUUUGUCCACUGCUGCAUCUCCAGCACCCAGACCCAAAGCCUGGACUGUUGUGAGAAUCAAACAAGAUAAUGUAUGCUAAAGCAUGCUGUGAACACUACGUGCUGUGUAUAGGAGAGUGAAGUCCCCAAAAUGAAUGUAGUGACACUGUCUUGUUGAAGAUCUUGGUUGUGAACUUUGUGGGAAAUGAACCGUGAACCAAUAAUUCAAUAUAUGAAAUAUGAUUUAUUCAUUAUCCAUUGAAGGAGAUCUUGGCUGUCACUUCUGUGGAUGAGGAGAGGGAUGCAUAUGAAGAAAAGAAAUCUAGACUCAUCCCAUAUCCCAUCCCAUAUCCCACUUUGGAUCAAGCAUAUGUCAGCAGUUAUGUGAAAUGGUAUUUCAGUUCUGGAUUGCUGGUCCAGGGAGUAGCACAGAGGAAGAGGGAAGAUACUGUCAUUGUCAUCAUUAUUAGUUAAGAUGGCAGUCAAGAUUUAAUAUGGGAAGAGACCACAAAACAUCAUUCAUACCAGGAGACAUAGAUUAUUUGGAGCCAUCUUGGAGGCUACCACAUGUAAUAUCUUUAUAAUAUGGACAAAUUAAACAAGAAAGGUGAGCAUGAACAAAAUAUAACUAUGGUAUUAAGAUGAAGCCAAGAAGUUGAGUAAUCUAUGUAAUGCUGACUUCAAUUGCAAAAAGAUAUAGUCUCAGUUCUAUGGAAAAUAAGCCUAUGGAUAGAUCUUGGUAAUAUUCAAAGGUCUUGUUCUUGUGUUUUUUGGUUCAUGUAUACUGAGUUUGUUAUUACUAAUGACUCAAUGAAUAAAGCAAUAAAGAUAUGAAUGAAUGGAAAAAAAAGAGUUCCAAGCCUAGACCAAUGAUGAGUGUUCUGGGGUAUUUGAAUCAAUGAUUCUGAUUAAACCCUAUAACUCUGAGGUCUACUACAGGAAGAGAUGUAUUUAAUGCUUGUAAGGUAAGUAAUAUUACAGCAGAAGCAGAAGUCAGACUAUUGACAUUCAUAAGUCUGCAUUGUAUUUCUAUAAAUGAAUUAAUGUAUGAAUAACAAAACAAAUACAUAAAUGAAUGAAGGCAUGGAGAACCAUAUGUGACUUAAUUAUGAGAGUGUGUAACAUAUUUAUGUUUCUUGAGACAUUUCUGAAGCAGCCAGCUCCAACACAAAUUGAUUACAUCUGAGACUCCUUUGUGUAAGUAAUGUAUACAGGUAAGUACAUAGAAAUCAAUGUUGCUGUCUUGCAUUAUUUAGGUGGUACUUGUUGCUUAUUAAAAAAAGGAAAUAUAAUCUAGUUGGUUAUGUCUUACAUUAAUAAGCACGUAUACCACUGUUAAUGUUCAAAUUUCUAGUGUACUUUGUACAUUCAGAGAUAUUGAUGAUAUUAUGAGUGAAUGUAUGAGUAUGUUCAUCUCUUAUCUCUCAACUUAGGCCCUAUAGCUCUGAAGAGGAUAGAGCAAAAUUUUUCAGUUUCAGCUUUAUUAAUAUCCUGGGCUUGUAGUUCUCUGUUAUUGGGGUUUCUCCUGUAUGUUGUGGGUUAUGAUAGACAUUUCUCCACACAUUAGCAAAUAUCAUCUGGGUGGGAACAACAUUGACCCCAAUUCAGAACUACUUUGAUAAAACACAGACCAAUGAGGAGCGUGUGUUGUAAAAUAUAAAUUAUUUAUCCUGUUGUACCUUGCUGGUAUUCAGAUUAAAAAAACCCUCAUAACCCAGGCUCUUCCCAUCUUGGAUCACUUUCAUAUGUACAGUUGCAUUUAAUUGUAUUACAAAUUUGCAUGGUUAUUGUGUUGAUAAUACGGCAUUUUCUUUUUUUUUUCUCUUUUUUCUAAUACUGCAUUUUCUCUAGAAAAAAAAGGUUCGUGAUGAAGACAUACUGAUGAAUAAAUAAAACUGAAUGAAUAAAUACAUGAAGGAGGGUCUAGUAUGGAUUAUUGGCAAAAAACGUAUCACGAAAAAAUGUAUAUUUAAUUGUAUUGCAAUUUUGUAUGGUUGAUGUGUUAUCUAAUUCUGUAUAAGCAAGCUCCAUUAUUAGGAAAAAUGUUCUAGAUUCUUCUGCUGGGUGCUAGAUAAAUCAAUUAAUAAAAUGCUGGGCCAUGCGUGCGCCACUGAUUAAAAUUUGGAAUAAAUGAAGGUUUAUGGUUAAUCUAAUACAGUUCUACAAAUGUCCCUAGAAAGAUUAAAUUUGGGCUUUUCUUUCUUCCAUCUGCCUUUACCCCACAUAAUGUGUGUGCUACACCUGAGCUAAUUAUUCCCUAAUGGUGAAAAUCCUGGCUUUUUGUUCUGUGGCUAAAAAGUGUAGGAACAGAUCUUAGUUAAUGUUUAUGUUCUUGAUUUGGACGUUUUGUUCAUGUUUUUUGUUAUUUCAGAGAAAUAAAUGGGUACAUAUUUAAGUUAUAUUAGAAAAUACUUUGGGAGGCUGAGGCAAGAGAAUUGCUUAAGCCCAGGAGUUUGAGGUUGCUGUGAGCUGUGAUGCAAUGGCACUCUACCGAGGGCUACAAAGUGAAACUCUGUCUACAAAAAAAAAAAAGAAAGUACCAUGCAUUGAUGGAUGAUUGGAAUGUUUUAAGAAAAAAGACAGUAGUCUCAGCUACUUGGGAGGCUAAGGCAAGAGAAUCGCUUAAGUGAGUCUGAGUUUGCUGUGAGCUAUGACACCAUGGCACUGUACCAAUGGGGACAAGUGAGACUCUGUCUCAAAAAAAAAAAAGAUGAAAUGAUACUAUUUUAUUUCAGCAUAACUAAAACCAUUAAUUAAAAUAAGGUCAUUUCAAUCAUCUUCAGAACAGAAUAUUAUUCCCUUUUAUUUUUGUACCACAGCUUAUUUAAAUUUCUUUGCCUGAUUUGGUUUGCUGAAUCUUUAAGGGUAACAUGUAAAAAAACAGUGGAUAUUGUUAGUGUUCAUGUUGUGGGAUAAGAAAGUAUGUUCUUGUUCAUGUUCGUUUAUUGUUCUUCCCAGAAUUUUGGAUUGCUUGAAGCUAGGAAUUUAAGAGUAUCCUGGGCAACAUAGAGAGACAUGAUUCUACCAAAAAUUAAAAAAAGUUUUGAAGUGUUGGCACACACUUGUAGUCCUAGCUAUCUCGAAGGAAGAGGCAGAAGGAUUGCUUGAGCCCAGGAGUAAAAAGCUGCAAUGAGCUAUGACUGUGCCACUUUGUAGCCCCAUUUCAGCCAGGCUACAAAGUGAGACUCUGUCUCUUAAAAUUAAAAGAAUAAAUAAAUAAAUAAAUUAGACUACAUUAAGUUAAAUAUGGACAAACUAAAUGAAGAGUAAGCAUGGAACAGUGAUAAGUAUAGGAUUGCUGAGAAAGAGUUUAAUAACCCAUAUGUUCAAUAUUAGAUUCAUUGUAAAAAGCAGUAUUCUAACAGAUUUGUUGAUCUUAGCAGUUUUGUGAUUCUUACCUGGGGGAUUUGGGAAAUUUUUUGUGUUGUUUUAACAUUGUUAGGGAAUCAAUGAGUAUAAAUAUAUCAAUAAACAAACAUACAAAUGAGUGAAUUAAGAAUUCUAAACCAAGACCAAUGAUGAAUAUUCUGAGAUGUUUGAAUCAAAAUUUUGAUUAAACCCUAUAGCUUUGAAGUUCAUUAGAAAAAGAAAAAUGGCAUAUUUUCUCUGUGGGUAAUAAGCAUAUAUCAGAAGUUAGGAAAAGUCAGAUUUUGUUCUUGAUCUCCUGAGUACUGAGUAUAGAUUAUAUUUUGUAUAAGUAAAUCCUUACGUAAGUAGAAGAAUAAAAUAUAUUAAUGAUGACAGAGAUAUAUGAUCAGAUCAAAUAUGAGAGCAUGUCAUGAAAUAAGGAGCAGGAUUUAUACAAUUUGGAAAUACUGGCUGGGUGUGGUGGCUCAUGCCUGUAAUCCCAGCACUCUGGGAGGCCAAGGUGGGCAGAUUGCCUAAACUCUUGAGUUUUAGACCAGCCUGAGCUAGAGUGAGACCCUGUCUUUAAAAAUAGCCUGACUUUGUGGUAGGCGCCCGUAGUCCCAGCUACUUGGGAGGCUGAGGCAAGAGAAUCUCUUUAGCCUGAGAGUUGGAGGUUGCUGUGAGCUGUGUUGCUAUGACGCUCUACCCAGGGCGACAGCUUGAGACUCUGUCUCCAAAAAAAAAAAAAAUUUAAAGUGCAGAGUUCCAGUAAAAUAAACGGUUCAAGGCUCUUAGACUUUUGAGUAAGGAACAUAAGAACAUAACUAUGUAUAUGAAUCAAUGUUGUUCAUUGGUAACUGGGUGUUGUUUUUAAAAAUGUUGCUCCUUUUUAAGAUUUUUUUUUUAUGCAAUUUUAGGUUCACAGCAAAAUUGAGCAGAAACUACAAAGAAUUCCCAUAUAUCUCUUGUUCCCAUGUGUAUAUAGCCACUCCCAUUAUCAACAUUCCUCUCACUUCUGAAUAGUAGUACAUUUAUUACAGUCGUUGAAUCUACACUGACAUAUCCUUAUCACCCGAAGUCUGUAGUUUACAAUGGACUUUGCCCUUGGAUUGUACAUUCUAUGGAUUUGGGUAAAUGUAUAAUGACAUGUAGCCACAUUAUAGUAUCAUAUAGAAUAUUUCACUGGUCUAGAAAUCCUCUGUGGUGACUUUUAUCCUGGCAACCAUUGGUCUUUUUAAUAUCUUUGUCAUUUUGCCUUUCCAGAGUGUUUUGCUCUUGUAAUCCUACUACGUUACAAGUAAUAUGCAUUUAAGUUUCUUCCAUGUUUUUUCAUGGGUUGAUAGCUAUUUCUUUCAGUGCAAAAUAAUAUUCCAUUGUCUGGAUAUGCCAUAGUUGAUUUAUCCAUUCACCUACUGAAGAACAUCUUGGUUUCUUCCAAGUUUUGGCAAUUUUGGGUAAAGCUUCUGUAAACAUGUGUUUGCAGGUUUUUGUGUGGAUGUAAGUUUUCAACUCCUUACAGUAAAUACCAAGGAGUACUAUUGCUGGAUUGUUUGGCAAGAAUUGUUUAGUUUUUGAGAAAACUAUUGAAGUGGCUGGAUCAUUUUCAAUUUCCAUUAGCAAGGAAUGAGAAUUCCAUUUGCUCCAUAUCCUUGCUAUUGUUUGGUAUUCUCAGUGUUACAGAUUUUGGUCAUUCUAAUAGGUGUGUAUCUCAUUGUUUAAAUUUGCAUUUCACUGAUAACAUGAUGUGGAGCCUCUUUUAUUUUCACUGUGGUAGUUUAAACAUUAUUUACUUAUUUAUUUAAAAAAAUUUCAGAAUAUUACGGGGGUUCUCAGGUUUUGGUUAUAUAAUAUGCUUUUGUACAUUUUAAUUCAAAGUUAUAAAUGGAGCAUCUUUUUAUAUAAUCAUUUCCUUUUUUUUUUUUUUUUUUUGGGACAGAGUUUCUCUCUGUUGCUCCAGCUAUAGUGCCGUGGUGCCAUAGCUUAUAGCAACCUCAAACUCUCCUGGGUUAGAGCAAUCCUCCCAAGUAGCCUGGAUUAAAGGCAUGCAUCCCUACUAUGCCCAGCUAGUUUUUUUAUUUUUAGUAGAGAUAGAGUCUCACCCUUGCUCAGGUUGGUUUUGAACUCCUGAACUCAAGCAAUCCACCCAAGUUAGCUUCCCAGAGUGCUAGGAUGCAGGCGUGGGCCACUGGGCCCAGCCUAUAUGAUUAUGAUUAUUUUCUGUGUACCUUUGUUGGUGAAGUGUCUGUUAAAAUCACUGGCCUAUUUUUUAAUAUGUAUGGUUGUUUUCUUAUUGUUGAGUUUUAAGAGUACUUUGUAUAUUUUGUAUAAUAGCACUUUAUUGGAUGUGUCUUUUGUAAAUAUUUUUUCCCAAUCUGUGGCUUUUCAUACUUUCUUAACAGAGCAGAAACUUUUAAUUGCAAUAAUGUCCAGUUUAUUAAUUCUUUCCUGUACAGAUUAUCCUUUUGACGUUGCAGCUAAAAAAUCCAUUGCCAAAUCCAAGGCAUCCAACAUCUAAACUUUCUAUGUUUCUUCUGUGAGUGUUAUAUAGCUUUGUGUUUUACACUGAGGUCUAUGUUCCUUCUUGUAAUUACAAAAUUUAUAAAUUAUAUGUAUAAAAGAUGUUAACUUUUGUAAAAUGUGUAAAGGCUGUGUCUGUAUUCAUUUGUUUGCAUGUGAAUGUUCAGUUGUUCUAGUACCAUUUGCUCCAUUGCAUUGCCUUUGCUCCUUUCUCAUAGAUCACUUGAUUAUGUAUUUAUGUGGGUCUACUUCUGGGCUCUCUAUUCUGUUCUACUGAUUUAUUUAUUUAUUUAUUCUUUUGCCAAUAUCAUACUUUCAGUUACUGUGCUUAAUAUUGUUAAUAUAGAUAAGACCAGCUUUGUUCUCUUUCAGUGUUGUGUGGGCUGUUCUGGGCCUGGCCUCUCCCUGUAAACUUUAGGCUGAUUUUAUUGACAUUACAAAACAAUAUGCUAUUAAAUCUAUAGAUCAAGUUGGUAAAAACUGUCAUCAUGGAAAUAUUGAAUCUUCCUAUCUAUGAACAUGGAAUAUCUCUUCACUUGUUUAGGUCUUCUUUGAUUACUUUCAUCAGAUUUUUAUAGUUUUACCCAUGUAGAUCUUGUACAUAUUUUAUUAUAUUUACACCUAACUUAGACUGAACGUAUUACCUAAUAAUUUAUAUUGUAUUAUGUUUGAUUUAUUUUUAAUAUAUAUUUAUUAUAUAGUAUGCUUUUAAUAUAUUAUUUAUAUGUGUUAUAUUUUAUUUAUUUCUAUUUUAUUGUAUAUUAUUAUAUGUUAGAUUUAUACCUACAGUCAUUUUUGGUGAUGCUAAUAUAAAUAUUGUUUUUAAUUUCAGAUUCCACUUGCUCAAUCCUGAAGCAAUUGACUUUUUUGUAUUCUGCUAACUUGAUAUAAUUACUUAUUUGUGGCAUGAAUGUUUUUAUUAAAUUUUUAUAAAUGAAUUUUUAUUAAUGCUUUCAGAUUUUCUACAUAAAUAACCAUGUUAUCUGAAAACAAAGACAGUUUAUUUCUUUUUCUUUUUUUGUUAUCAGUAUACUUUUUAUUUCAUUUUCUUGUUUUAUAGCAUUUGCUUAAACUUCCAGUAUAAUGUUGAAAAGCAGUUGAGAAGGACUAUCCUUGCUGUGUUUUUGAUCUUAAUGGAAAAACUUUUGAGUUUCUUACCAUUAAAUAUAAUGUUAGCUGCAUAUUUUUAAUAGAUAUUCUUUAUCAAGUUGAGGUUCACUUCUAUUUCUUCUUAAGUUUUUUUAUAUUAUUAAUCAAUAUUGUACUUUGUCAAAAUAACUUUUUCUGCAAUUACUGAUAUGACCAUGUGAUUUUUUUUCUUCCUUAGGUUGCUGAUGUGAUGGAAUUAAAUUAAUUCGUUUUCAAAUCUUGAACCAGGCUAGUGUAUCUAGGACAAAUUCUACUUGAUUGUGGUGUCUGUUUCUGUUUAUAUAUUGUUGGAUUUGGUUUGCUGUUAAGAUUUGAGGACUUUUGCUUCAUAUAUUCAUGAAAAAUAUUGGUUUAUAGUUCUUCUUGUUUCUUGUAAUGUCCUUUUCUGGUUUUGGUAUUAGGGAAUGCUCUCCUUUUAGAAAGAAUUAGAAAGUAUUUAGUCUGUUUUCAUCUUCUGAAAGAGAAUGCAGAAUUGGUUUAAUUUCUUUUUUAAAUGUUUGGGAGAAUUUAUCAGUAAACCUGUCUUUGCAGAUUCCUUCUGUUUUGAAAGGUAAUUAAUUAUUGAUUUAAUGUUUUUAAAUAGAUGUAGGCCAAUUUAGAUUGUUUUUCUUAUUGUGUAAGUUUUGGCAGAUCAUGUCUUUCAUAACCUUGAAAUUCAAGAAAUCAUAACCAUUUCUUCUAGGUUAUCAGUUUUGUGCAUAUAGAAUUGUUCAUAGUAUUCCCUUGUUAUAUAUUAUUUUCAAAAACUUAGACGUUAUUGUAUAGUAAUUUAUUUAAAGGUAAACAAAACAAUUAUUAGAAUCCAAAAAGAAUCUCAAAAGAAGUCUUACCCUUUGAAAGUAUUAUAUGUAUGCAAAUUUAUAUUCAAAUUAGAAAAGUUUUGAUACCAUUUAGAUUGUUUUUAAAUAUAACUUAUCUUUAUCUUCAUGUAAAGAAAACACCUUAUGAUAUCAUCUCAUGGUUUAUGUUGUGAAGAAUUGAUGUGAAAAUGUUAAAGUGUUGAUAAAUUUUAUUCUGGAAUGUUGGUAUUAUGGAAAGGUGUAAUUGGUUAACAUAUUUAAGCAAGAUGUGUUCUAAACCUUCAACUAUAUUCAUAAUAGUUGAGGAAAGAUCAUAUAUUGUUUAGAAUAGCAAGUCUUACUAAAAUGCCUAUGUUCAUUUUCUUGGUAGGUUUUUUUAAAGUUUAAAAGUAGUCAUUACAACUAUAUUUUGAUUGUUUUUUUGUCUGCGUUGCAUAUCUGAUAUUCACAGGCUGUAAAAAUGGUUAACAGAAAAUAACUUAGUAACUGGGAUGUAAGUAAACUGCUAAGAUAAAUAAAUUAGGGAAAUGUGAGAGAAAUGCUUAGAAAUAAAAUCUUUAUAUAAUUUGCAAUGUUAAAAUUUUGUUAAAUGAAAUAAUAGAUACUCAUUAAAUGUCACUUCCAGUUAAGAAAAAAUUAUAUUGGAGGGAAACAUGGGCUUAAAACUUGUAAAUAUGGCUUUUAUUUAUAAAAUGUUGACAUAUGACAAGCAAGUCAAGAUCUCUUACUAUUUCCCAUGUUUUCACUAAGGUUUGGGGUUACAGGGAGUUAAAAUUUCUGGUUAAUAUAUGAUACUAUUGGGGGGCUUAAGAACCAAUAAUAGAAAAAUGUGGCAUUUGUACAACAUGUAGACUGACUAAUGAAACCACAAGGUCUGUCUGAUUUCUGUUACACAGUUAAUGUCCAUGGGAUCUAUAAUGAUAUUGCUUUUUUCAUUUCUGAUAUUAGUAGUUUAUAUCCUCUCUCUUUUUUUCUUUAUUAGCUACCUAUAGUUUUUUUUAUUUUUAUUGAGCUUUUCAAAGAACCAAUUUUUUUUGGGUAAUUUUCCCUACUGAUUUACUGUUUCCAAUCUCAUUUAUUUCUGUUCUAAUUUUUUUUAUUUUUCUCUUCUGCUUACUUUGGACUUGAUUUGUUCUUUUUAUUUUGUUUCCUAAGAUGUAAGCUUAAAUUACUGAUUUUAUAUCUUUCCUUAUUUGUUUCUUAAAGUUAAUAUUAUUCAAAAUUGUCAAAUCAUAAUUGUAUAUAUCUACGGAGUACAAUGUGAUGUUUUGAUAUAUGGAUAGACAAUGUAUAUUGAUUAAGUCAGGAUAAUUAAUAUGUAUCAGCUCAUUUACCUAUCAUUUUCAUUGUGAGACAUUUGAAAUUUACUCUCGGUUGCUUUGAAAUAUAUAACACAUUAUCAUUGACUAUAGUCACCCUGUUAGACCUCAAAACUCAUUCUUCCUGUAUAUCUGAAACUUUGUACUGUUUGACCAAUGUAAUAACUCCCCAAUCCCUCCGUUAACCUCACCUGAGCCUCUGGUAACCAUCACUUCAUUCUCUACUUGUUUGAGUUCAAUGUUCUUAGAUUACAUGUGUAAAUGACAUCUUGUGGUAUUUGUCUUUCAGUGCAUAGAAUAUUUUGUUGUUUCCGUUUUGGGGGUUAUAUCCAAAAAAUCAUUGUUUAGGCCAAUGUCAUACAGAUUUUCCUCUCUAUUUUCUUUUAGUAGUUUUACAGCAUCAGGUUGUAUAUUGAAGUUUUUAAUCCAUUUUGAGUUGGCUUUUAUAUAUGGUGUAUGAUAAGGAUCCAGUUUCAUUCUUCUGUAUGUAUGUGGAUAACCAGUUUUCCUAAUACUAUUUGUUGCAAAGACUGUCCUUUUCCUAUUGUAUGCUCUUGGUACCUUUGUCCAAAGGUAAAAUGCCGAUAAAUGUGUGAGUUUUAUUUUUGUGCUUUUUAAAUGCUAUUUCUUUAGUGAAUUCUUCUGUUUUUAUGGC